rnacentral:rRNA from 1 species
GUCCACGCCCUAAACGAUGUCAACUAGGUGUUGGGAGCGCAAGUUCUUGGUACCGCAGCUAACGCGUGAAGUUGACCGCCUGGGGAGUACGGUCGCAAGAUUAAAACUCAAAGGAAUUGACGGGGACCCGCACAAGCGGUGGAUGAUGUGGAUUAAUUCGAUGCAACGCGAACAACCUUACCUACCCUUGACAUGUCCAGGAGUCGGCUGAAAGGUCGAUGUGCCCGAAAGGGAAUUGGAACACAGGUGCUGCAUGGCUGUCGU